rnacentral:rRNA from 1 species
CACCGGCAGCUCUAGUGGUAGCUGUUUUUAUUGGGCCCUAAAGCGUUCGUAGCCGGUUUGAUAAGUCACUGGUGAAAUCCUGUAGCUUAACUGUGGGAAUUGCUGGUGAUACUGUUGAACUUGAGGUCGGGAGAGGUUAGCGGUACUCCCAGGGUAGAGGUGAAAUUCUGUAAUCCUGGGAGGACCACCUGUGGCGAAGGCGGCUAACUGGAACGAACCUGACGGUGAGGGACGAAAGCUAGGGGCGCGAACCGGAUUAGAUACCCCGGUAGUCCCUGAGCGGGCUGGCAA